UACGAAGGGGGCUAGCGUUGCUCGGAAUCACUGGGCGUAAAGGGUGCGUAGGCGGGUUUUUAAGUCAGGGGUGAAAUCCUGGAGCUCAACUCCAGAACUGCCUUUGAUACUGAAGAUCUUGAGUCCGGGAGAGGUGAGUGGAACUGCGAGUGUAGAGGUGAAAUUCGUAGGUAUUCGCAAGAACACCAGUGGCGAAGGCGGCUCACUGGCCCGGUACUGACGCUGAGGCACGAAAGCGUGGGGAGCAAACAGG
rnacentral:rRNA from 1 species